CCGAGUUUACAACUCCCAAACCCAAUGUGAACCAUACCAAACUGUUGCCUCGGCGGGGUCACGCCCCGGGUGCGUCGCAGCCCCGGAACCAGGCGCCCGCCGGAGGGACCAACCAAACUCUUUCUGUAGUCCCCUCGCGGACGUUAUUUCUUACAGCUCUGAGCAAAAAUUCAAAAUGAAUCAAAACUUUCAACAACGGAUCUCUUGGUUCUGGCAUCGAUGAAGAACGCAGCGAAAUGCGAUAAGUAAUGUGAAUUGCAGAAUUCAGUGAAUCAUCGAAUCUUUGAACGCACAUUGCGCCCGCCAGUAUUCUGGCGGGCAUGCCUGUCCGAGCGUCAUUUCAACCCUCGAACCCCUCCGGGGGUCCGGCGUUGGGGAUCGGGAACCCCUAAGACGGGAUCCCGGCCCCGAAAUACAGUGGCGGUCUCGCCGCAGCCUCUCAUGCGCAGUAGUUUGCACAACUCGCACCGGGAGCGCGGCGCGUCCACGUCCGUAAAACACCCAACUUCUGAAAU
rnacentral:misc_RNA from 1 species